rnacentral:tRNA from 1 species
GUGGGUAUAGCUCAGGGGUAGAGUGCAUGCUUAGCAUGCACAAGGUCCUGGGUUCGAUCCCCAGUACCUACA